rnacentral:lncRNA from 1 species
UUUUUUUUUUUAAUGGCAUUUGUAGAAGAUGAUCUAUGCUCUGUGUGUGUGUGUGUAUCCCAAAUAACACAAGUGAAGUUUUCCUUCAUAGUUUGCAUAACAACCUACACUCACAAGUACUAUUUCCACAGCACAGAAAAGAAAAAACACAUAGCAUCUCUGUGUGUAUUGGAUGGGUGAUGGAUAGGUGGACAAGACCAUCCUGGUAGCUUUUUACAAGCAAGGAACCACCAAUGAUCAGUGUUCCUAGAGGUCCUCCCCUCCUUAGACAGGUUUCUGUUCCCUUCACCCAGGAAAUGCCCGUGAACUUGGUCUCUUCUGCUUGAUGCUGCCUCACCCCACAUGUCCCCAAGGCUCAUCUUCUGGGCCUGUAGGAGGUGUGAUGACUGUGGUAUCUCCCUAGGGCGUCUGUGAGGAAAUGACCUACGAGGAAAUUCAGGAUAAUUAUCCACUGGAGUUCGCCCUGCGGGACCAGGACAAGUACCGGUACCGGUACCCUAAAGGGGAGUCCUACGAGGACCUGGUCCAGAGACUGGAGCCUGUCAUCAUGGAGCUGGAGAGGCAAGAGAAUGUGCUGGU